rnacentral:rRNA from 1 species
UGGGGAAUUUUGGACAAUGGGCGAAAGCCUGAUCCAGCAAUGCCGCGUGUAGGAUGAAGGCCCUCGGGUUGUAAACUACUUUUGUACGGAACGAAAAGACUCUUUCUAAUAAAGAGGGUCCAUGACGGUACCGUAAGAAUAAGCACCGGCUAACUACGUGCCAGCAGCCGCGGUAAUACGUAGGGUGCGAGCGUUAAUCGGAAUUACUGGGCGUAAAGCGUGCGCAGGCGGUUAUGUAAGACAGAUGUGAAAUCCCCGGGCUCAACCUGGGAACUGCGUUUGUGACUGCAUAACUAGAGUACGGCAGAGGGAGGUGGAAUUCCGCGUGUAGCAGUGAAAUGCGUAGAUAUGCGGAGGAACACCGAUGGCGAAGGCAAUCCCCUGGACCUGUACUGACGCUCAUGCACGAAAGCGUGGGGAGCAAACA